UACGUAGGGUGCAAGCGUUAAUCGGAAUUACUGGGCGUAAAGCGUGCGCAGGCGGUUAUGCAAGACAGAUGUGAAAUCCCCGGGCUCAACCUGGGAACUGCAUUUGUGACUGCAUGGCUAGAGUGCGGCAGAGGGGGAUGGAAUUCCGCGUGUAGCAGUGAAAUGCGUAGAUAUCUGGAGGAACACCGGUGGCGAAGGCGGCAUCCUGGACCGGUAUUGACGCUGAGGCGGCGAAAGCUAGGGGAGCAAACGGG
rnacentral:rRNA from 1 species